AAGCAGCUUGGUGAGAAGGUGACAACAGUUGGUGCGAUUAUUCGCAAAUGUGUUUCUUCAACAUCUGUUGUCACCUUCUCACCAAGCUGCUC